rnacentral:rRNA from 1 species
UACGAAGGGGGCUAGCGUUGUUCGGAAUCACUGGGCGUAAAGCGCGUGUAGGCGGAUCGUUAAGUCGGGGGUGAAAUCCUGAGGCUCAACCUCAGAACUGCCUUCGAUACUGGCGAUCUUUGAGUCCGGGAGAGGUGAGUGGAACUCCUAGUGUAGAGGUGAAAUUCGUAGAUAUUAGGAAGAACACCAGUGGCGAAGGCGGCUCACUGGCCCGGUACUGACGCUGAUAUGCGAAAGCGUGGGGAGCAAACAGGAUUAGAUACCCUGGUAGUCCACGCCGUAAACUAUGAAUGCUAGCCGUCGGACAGCUUGCUGUUCGGUGGCGCACCUAACGGAUUAAGCAUUCCGCCUGGGGAGUACGGUCGCAAGAUUAAA